GAUCAUAAGCCUUGGUUUACCUGUGAGAGAUGUUUACAGAAAAGUAUGGGCACUGGAACAUGGAGAGGGAGAGCCAAUGCAGAUUAUCUAUCAUAUGAGAGGACUGUUGGGGGAUGCUACAGAGGACAUGGUUAACUCCCUUGAUACAGACACACGGGAAGAUGGACAAAGAGGAAGUGUACAGAAUGGCCAAUGUGCUCGCUACAUGUGGUGGUCUUAAGGUGAUGCUGGACAGGAAAAAGAAAAGAAAUGAGCUCAGGAAAGACAAGAUACAGCAGGUACAAGUUCUUAAGACAUUCAUGGAAACAUCAGAGUUCAGCAGCUUCUUGAAACAGAUUGAAAGACUGGAGAACAAUUGAUAUAAAGACAGUGGAUGGCACUGACUACAUGUUUGAGAGCAUGUGAUCUGAUAAUGACUACAGGCCCAGAGUUGGAGCCAAGACACAGUUAGGCAUAGUCAUGGAGCCGUUGCCAUCGGUGUUACUGUACACAAAACUUGGUAGGCUGAUUGAUUAAGUCAGCCUAGACAUGGGCACAUGUGGACAGACUGGAAGUUCUUGUGUAUGAACCACUCAUGAGGAGUGUACAUUUUGCCAUACAAGUUUGAACCACUCAUGAGGAGUGUACAUUAUGCCAUACAAGUUUGAACCACUCACGAGGAGUGUACAUUAUGCCAUACAAGUUUGAACCACUCACGAGGAGGGUACAUUAUGCCAUACAAGUUUGAACCACUCACGAGGAGUGUACAUUAUGCCAUACAAGUUUGAACCACUCACGAGGAGUGUACAUUUUGCCAUACAAGUUUGAACCACUCACGAGGAGUGUACAUUUUGCCAUACAAGUUUGAACCACUCACGAGGAGUGUACAUUAUGCCAUACAAGUUUGAACCACUCACGAGGAGUGUACAUUAUGCCAUACAAGUUUGAACCACUCACGAGGAGUGUACAUUUUGCCAUACAAGUUUGAACCACUCACGAGGAGUGUACAUUAUGCCAUACAAGUUUGAACCACUCAUGAGGAGUGUACAUUUUGCCAUACAAGGAAGAUAAGGAAGCAGAGAAGGACCAGGAACCACAACUGCUGCAAUGGGAAACCCUUGUAACUGGUACAUGUAUAUACUCUGGUUACAGAUUUGCAGUAUCAGCCAGCAUCCACAGACAUUCUAAAUAUAGGACCAACACAAUCAGACAAGUUGGCAAGAUGUUAUUACGUUCAAGAGUGGUGACAUUCUGCCCAAGAUUCUAGUCUGGAGAUACCAUCAGCCGAUCUUAGAAUCUUUUUUAAGAUUUAAGUUUAAAAAUGUGACAUUGACUUAAGACUACAUUUAUACUGCUUUCAGUCAAAGGCUUUUCUUUGUUGUUUUUUUUUUAUCAAUAUAUCAAGAUCUGGAAAAUAGCUGUAUUGGAGACAAGUUUGUAUGACAAAAUGAAAUAAAGAUUUUUAUGUUAAAAAUAUUUUUUUUAUAUAUAUUAAAUACUUAUGAAGUGACUUUAUCAUGACUUUAAGAUAUGCAAGAUUACAGUGGUUGCUUUUUUAAAUGUUUUCAGGAAGUGCAAAAAACUUCCUUAUUUGACAAGAAACAGCUUUUUCAACCGUAACAUAUGUUAAAACACAUUAGAUGGACUUUUACAAAGAAAAUUGUUAAUUAUGUCAAGAGUUAUAUAGAUCCUAGCUAUAUGACUUAUUUUUACUUUCAACUGUAUUGCAUGACUUUUGUAAGUUUGAGCAGUUGAGUUAUUAACCGCAAAAAUAUUGUAAGUGACUUCCUAGUUUUUGGCAAGCUGAUCUAUUCCAUCUGUAUUCUUGAAGUUUACUGCUUAAGAGUAAUAAUUAAAACUGGAAAUGAUGCUUUUCUAACUUUUACUUUUGAAAAUUUUGAGCAAUUUUUUUCGUAAACUGAAGAAUCUGGAAACUACAUGAUACAUUAUUUAUUAUUACAUAAUUCCUUUUAUUAUAUACCUGUAUAAAUUCUGUCAAACUUACAGCUUGUAUUUUACAAUUAAAUAUGAACAGGCAGAAAUUAUUCCUUAUUGUCCUUUUUGUAUUGCAUGUUGCUGGACGACGUUCAUUUAAUAUGCAUGACCUGACACAUUUCUAUAGAUAGCGCACAUAGAAACUAUACUCUGUUCUUUUUUAACAUAGAUAAACUGUUAAAACAUUGAGGAUUUUGUUCGAUAACAAAACAACAAACAGAAAGGUGGAGGUAUAUAAUAAAACUUAAAGGGUCAUUGUAACUGUAGCUAGAUCUGGAAUUUGUAUUCGGCUCUCAUGGAUUCUUCCAAGUUUGAUGGUACUUAGUGCUUGUGUGCACCUCGUGUUAUUCGACUCGGCAAAAUUCCCUCGAGCCGAAUACCACAUCCAAGUUCAAGCUACUGUUUUAAUAACCCUAUUGUAUAAAUUGCUGGUCCAUAGUUUGUGCUGUUGGCCAGUCUAUAUAUAGUUCAACACUAAAGUUUGCUUGGCUAAAGUCAAAAUUAGUUGUAUAAUACCAGUAUGAAUGGUUCAUAAUCACACAUGUUUUUACUGAUAAAUAAGUCAAACAUUUAAAAAUGGAAGUGUGAAAAUUAAUUUCUUAUGCUGUAUAAUAAAGCACUUAUUGAAUGACUUGCCAAUCAAUAGUCAAAACUUUUGGACUAUUGACUAGCAAGUAAUUCAUUGAGUAUGUACCAUUGACCUUUGGUCCUCUGGCAAUAGUUUGGACUAUUGACUAGCAAGUAAUUCAGUGGGUAUGUACCAUUGACCUUUGGUCCUCAGACAAUAGUUUGGACUAUUGACUAGCAAGUAAUUCAAUGGGUAUGUACCAUAGACCUUUGGACAUCAGACAAUAGUUUGGACUGUUGUCUAGCAAGUAAUUCAGUGGGUAUGUACCAUUGACCUUUGGUCCUCUGGCAAUAGUUUGGACUAUUGACUAGCAAGUAAUUCAAUGGGUAUGUACCAUUGACCUUUGGUCCUCUGGCAAUAGUUUGGACUAUUGACUAGCAAGUAAUUCAGUAGCAAGUAAUUCAUUGAGUAUGUACCAUUGACCUUUGGUCCUCAGACAAUAGUUUGGACUAUUGACUAGCAAGUAAUUCAUUGGGUAUGUACCAUUGACCUUUGGUCCUCUGGCAAUAGUUUGGACUAUUGACUAGCAAGUAAUUCAUUGGGUAUGUACCAUUGACCUUUUGUCCUCAGACAAUAGUUUGGACUAUUGACUAGCAAGUAAUUCAAUGGGUAUGUACCAUAGACCUUUGGACAUCAGACAAUAGUUUGGACUAUUGUCUAGCAAGUAAUUCAGUGGGUAUGUACCAUUGACCUUUGGUCCUCUGGCAAUAGUUUGGACUAUUGACUAGCAAGUAAUUCAAUGGGUAUGUACCAUUGACCUUUGGUCCUCAUGCAAUAGUUUUGACU